rnacentral:rRNA from 1 species
CCCUUAGAUGUUCUGGGCCGCACGCGCGCUACACUGAUGCAUUCAACGAGCCUAUCCUUGACCGACAGGUCCGGGUAAUCUUUGAAUCUGCAUCGUGACGGGGAUAGAUUAUUGCAAUUAUUAAUCUUCAAAGAGGAAUGCCUAGUAGGCGCAAGUCAUCAGCUUGCGUCGAUUACGUCCCUGCCCUUUGUACACACCGCCCGUCGCUCCUACCGAUUGGGUGUGCUGGUGAAAUGUUCGGAUCGGCCGUUUGUCGCGGUUUCCGCGGCUCGUGGCUGAGAAGUUCAUUAAACCCUCCCACCUAGAGGAAGGAGAAGUCGUAACA